rnacentral:rRNA from 1 species
AUUGAACGCUGGCGGCAGGCUUAACACAUGCAAGUCGAGCGAGCGGCGGACGGGUGAUUAAUGUCUGGGAAACUGCCUGAUGGAGGGGGAUAACUACUGGAAACGGUAGCUAAUACCGCAUACCAUCAGAUCAGCCCCGAUGGGAUUAGGUAGUAGGUGGGGUAAUGGCUCACCUAGGCGACGCUCCCUAGCUGGUCUGAGAGGAUGACCAGCCAAACUGGAACUGAGCCACGGUCCAGACUCCUACGGGAGGCAGAAGUGGGGAAUAUUGCACAAUGGGCGAAAGCCUGAUGCAGCCAUGCCGCGUGUGUGAAGAAGGCUUUCGGGUUGUAAAGCACUUUCAGCGAGGAGGCGUUACUCGUAGAAGAAGCACCGGCUAACUCCGUGCCAGCCGCCGCGGUAAUUC